rnacentral:misc_RNA from 1 species
CAGCAAUAUACCCUAAAGCUGCCUGCUGUUCAGGAGUUCGCUCAUAGAAUGUGAUUGUCAAUGAGGGAUCAGGAGAUGGAGCUAACGGGUUGUCAAUGAAGCUGUUACCAGCAGGAUCAUCAAGAAUAAAAGUAAAGGAUGAAUCUCCUGAAGCACAUGCUCUCAGUUUUAUCAAGAACUGAUCUAUUGCUUCAGCCAUCUUCGGAUCCACUUUCUUCCGUUCAUCUUGAAGAGCCUCUAAACCGUCAGCAGCUCGAACCAGUAUACCUUCUAUCGUUGACAAUGAUCCACGCUGAGCUUCAGGGGGGAUCUCAAAAUCUAGUUUGGGUAUCUUGAUGGUAGCACUUUCAGACUUCACAACUGUUCUGUUGAGCAACUUUUUAUCGCCUGAUGGAACAUGCAAGCUAUAGCAACAUCCUCGAGGCUGAAUCUCUCCAGCGAACUCCACUUCAUUAUUUCUUUCACCACAAUGUGGACAGUCAAAUGCUGACAAUAAUAUCUUUCUAAAGUGUGGAAUCAGUGUUAAGAGUAACCUUGUUGUACCAUUCUCACCACAUCGCAUACAGAGGCUUUCAACCACAUAAAGUGGGGUAUCAAUCUCAACAUCAUCUCCGCCGGCUGCAACUGCUUCCACCACCGACCUCACAUCCAUUAUCUGUUCCUUCGGCGCCGCCAUUCUCUAUAACUACUAACU